AAGUGCCGGGAUCGCCCCCCCACCAGCGUGUUACGCCCGUGGGGGCGCUUGUG
rnacentral:sRNA from 10 species